rnacentral:lncRNA from 1 species
GCCUUUGAAUAUCGCGAAUUUUUCAGACAAGUAGAAGGGAGAAAGAAUACAAAUCAUGGCAACUCCCGGUGUAGUAGUUAUCAGAGAUGCAUCAAUCUCUUCAACCUUCUUCUCCAAAUUCCUUUGUGAAUCUGUCGUGCACUUCAAGGUCGGAUUUACUAACUGUUGGCCUUUGACGAGCAAGAACCUUAUCAAAGUCUGUCUUUGUAAUGGGUGGCGGGAUGAUCUGCAAGGGCAUUAAUCAGCAAGCUGUUUAUAACUAGUCCCGGCAGAUAAGAAGACAGUUUAUGUAAAGCCAUAUCAGAACUUCAGACUAAAAUAUUACUAGUAAUUUUUUUCUUGAGCAGAGGAUCUAUCGGAAACAACCCCUCUCUACCUAACAAGGGUAGGGUAAGGACUGCGUAUACUCUACAUUCCUCAUACCCUACUUGUGGGAGCACACUGGGUCUGUUGUCGUUGUUGUUAAUUCUAAUAUCAGCUAUUCAGAAUUGACACAUAGGAAGAUGUAGUUCAUUAAAAGCACAAUCUCUUCUUACAUUUUAGUUCAACAAAAUCAUAUGAUACGCAGACCUUUAUGCUAGAAUCACAUUUAAUUACUGUAUUACUAGUGACUCGAAAGAAGUCAAAUUUCCAGACAUGUGCAGUCGUACUCCCCGGCCCCAAUAGAUUCCAGCUAAAACUCAUAAAACUUUUUUUUCUUUUUUGAGAAAGGUAAAGUUGCAACCAAAUAAAAAACUACUUAUGGCAGUGAUCUCAAACUAUACAUGUAUCCCGAAUAUCUACCUGAGAUGCAAGUCCUUUAGCAGCAAGCUCCUGCAUAGUUGUCUGCACAGCACCCCGUUGCUUCGGUCCGCAUGGAAUCCAGGUACCAUUAGAAGUUUGAGUAAAGAACACAGCAUCUUGUGUCUUACGUACGGGUUCAAAUAGCACGUCCUUGACCUGUCCAAGAAGAAAAAGUAUAUAAAUAUAUUAGGAGAACAUUGAGGAAUUGCCGCCUUUGUUACCUUCAGUACAAACCAGACAAAAACAUGUUGGGCAUCAAGGCAAAUUCAUUAAGGUCCAGACUUACACAAACAGAAACAUCUGAACCAGAAAAACCUUCUGUCUUACGGGCCAGGUCUUCAAAGUCACUCUCGCUCAAGUUAUGGGGGGUAUCACCUAAAUGAACCUGCACGUGUAACAAGCCAAUCUAAAUAAAUCUAGCUCUCACAAAUCGACUUGCAAUAUAUUUCCUUGAACUUCACUUUCCAAGAAAAAUCACAGAACAGAAUUUUACUUUGAACAUUUUUUUUUUGAUGAAGUAGUUUCAUUUAAAGGCGGGAUUUACUUUGAACAUGUGUUGCCGUGCCUUCAAAUCAGGGAGCGGAAUGUAGAUACGCUUGUCAAAUCUUCGCCGUAUAGCCUGUAGAGGACAAUUUCCAUCAGCAAUAAAUUUCAAAGAUAAACAACUUUUUACUGCAAAUCAUUCUUCACCUGAUCUAGGGCAUAGGGUGUGUUUGUCGCCGCAAGUACAAGAACUUUAUCAUCAUUGUGUCCAACACCCUGAAAAACAAAUUAAGAAAAAAAUAUCUUUAGCCAGGGGGAUUUCUCUUCCUCCAUAGCCAUGAUAGAUCAAUUACCUGCAUCUGCACAAGGAGUUCUGUUUUAAUACGUCGAGAAGCUUCACUUUCAUUUCCUUCUCCUCGCUGCCCACACAAGGAAUCAAUUUCAUCAACAAAUAUGAUGGAAGGAGCGCUUUCACGAGCCAUUUGGAAGAGGUUUGAAACUAGCUUUUCACUUUCACCCAUCCACUUGGAUACAAGGUCUGAUGAUGAGACGCUGCACGAAAAUAGCAGUUGGCACUCGCCAACUUUACAGCGUAAGCUCUUGAAAAUGGGAAACUGAGAAAAUAACUGACAAAGAAACAGAUACAGAACGACUAUAUUCAUGCAAGCAAUUCAUGUUUAUAUCCCUCCAUCAAGAUGAUUAUGUGCAAGUUUAAAAGAGAAAUUAGAUAGUGCAAAUGGAAGAUAUAUUACCACUGAGAACUGCAGAGAUUUCACGGAAUACUUGCAGGUAUAGAAUCAUUCAAGGAAUCAGGAAUCUUGACAUGGACCGCAAAAUGGAAGCCGAGUAUAUUAAAAUUUCAGGAAAAGGGUCAUUGUACUGUGUACAUAUUGUAUUUUGCUUCUAGAAAGGCAUCAAUCCAAUAAUUUCACAUGCUAUAGCUUGGUUGUCUCUAUUCAGGAGAUGUUAGGCAUCCCAAUAACCCCCACAAUGGCUCAUUGGUCAUCCCCUUAUGCUAGACUAUAGUCUUCACAUCCUGAAUACUUCCUAAGAUGGACAUGCAAAGACAUUUAUAUUAUGACUUAAGGGUGGAUGUGUACCUCUAUGGCAUGGCUGCUCUAUAGAAUUGGUACCAAAUCAAAACAUUCAACACCCUUGGAUACCAGACUAUAUUUAUCAACCAAUUCCAACAUCACAUUCUGUCCUAGAUGUAUAGAUCUGCAAGUGACACACCACCGAGGGGGACAACCCAGAUAUGACAUUUCUGGGGGAAAAGAACCUCAUGGGAAGUAGAUAUCCAAAAGAACCAUAAAGUCUUAACAAAAAUAAAGCUAAUAUAAAUACUACUCCCUCCAUUUCAAAUUAAUUGAAUUGUUGAGACAUUUUUCAUUUUUCAAUUUACUUAAUUGUUCAAUUAAAAAAAUUGUUCAAUUUUCAAGACUACUUUUAGAAUGUUCUUCCAAUUUUACCCUUCAUUAGUUAGCAUUGGAAUUAGUUAUUAAUUAGUCUUAAGUUAUUUUAAUCAUAAAUUUGACAAUAAUUAAUUAGGGUAAAAAUGGAAUGUUAUGCCUAAUUUAUGUCUUAAUCUUCUUUUCUUAAAGGGUGUGAAACAUCUCAACAAUUCAAUUAAUUUGAAAUGGAGGGAGUAUAAUUUAUGAGCAGAAAAUCAUUUCCCACAACAAAUAAGGAGCAACACCCACGAAACUACAACAACAACAACAACAACAACAACNNNNNNNNNNNNNNNNNNNNNNNNNNNNNNNNNNNNNNNNNNNNNNNNNNNNNNNNNNNNNNNNNNNNNNNNNNNNNNNNNNNNNNNNNNNNNNNGAGACAAUAACAAGAAAGAUAUAGGGAGUGAAACGCAGUAAACAGCAAAAGGCUAGGACUGCUCCAAACGCUAACAACCCAAGCCUUCGCAAGGGAAGACAACCCGCUAACCCUACUAACCUUCAACCUUAAUACGCGACCUCCACUCCUUCCUAUCUAGAGUCAUGUCCUCGGUGAUGUGAAGCAUAGCCAAGUCUUGUCUAAUCACCUCUUCCCAAUACUUCUUGGGUCUACCUCUACCCCUCCGCGUACCCUCUACCACCAUUACCUCGCACCUCCUCACUGGGGCGUCUGCACUCCGUCUCUUCACAUGUCCAAACCAUCUCAGUCUCGCUUCCCUCAGCUUGUCCACCACAGAGGCCACUCCCACCUUCUCCCGGAUAACCUCAUUCCUAAUCUUGUCGCUCCUAGUGUGCCCACACAUCCAUCUCAACAUCCUCAUCUCCGCAACAUGCAUUUUAUGAACAUGUGCGUUCUUAACUGGCCAACACUCCGCUCCAUACAACAAGGCCGGUCUAACUACCACUCUGUAGAACUUACCUUUAAGUUUCGGUGGAAUUUUCUUAUCACACAAUACUCCAGAGGCAAGCCUCCAUUUCAUCCAAGCAGCCCCAACGCGAUGUGUGACAUCAUCGUCGAUAUCGCCACUCCCUUGGAUUACAGCCCCAAGAUACUUAAAACUUUCCUUCUUAGGAAUGACUUGUGCGGCAAGUCUCACUUCCACAUCAUGGAUAUUGGAUCAUGACCAAGAUGGUAAAUUAGCAGGAGUUAAUUAAGAUUCAAACAAAACAAAAACAUUCUGAACGUACUGAGCAUAUAAAGAGGCUUACAUCAGCCAACUCCAUGCAAAGGCACAAGCAUCAUCCCACACUCCAAGAAGGAAAACGAAGGCAAUGUAAAAGACUCCUAGUCGACUUGGAUAUUGAACCACAUUCUAUAUUUAGUGAUUGAGCCCUUUACGUUCCUUACUACUACUGAUUCUUGACUCAAGCACCAAAUUACAUCAAAACAUCAUUCAUGCAAAGAAGAAAAUCAACAAGAGAAUAUGAGAAAGGAAGGUCAUAAAAACUAUAAAGAUAACAAAUUAUGAGAAAGGAAGGCCAAAAAAAAAAUUAUAAAGGAAAUUAAAUAAGAACCUAACAAGCAAAUGGUACAUCUUCUCCCCCGACUUCUUAUUGGUAUUCUGAGAUUUUCCUUUACAAUCUUUAGGGCUGCUAAGCAGAUCCUCAUUUUGCUCAAGAUCUUUUUUUCUUCACGAAUGACAGAUGAUAUGAUGUACAAAUUUUGCAAUUUAAAUACAGCCUUUCGUAUUUACAAAAUAAAAGCUGCAGUGAAUCAGGAAAUAUCUGAAGUUGAUAGCUUCUAUGUGCUGUAAAAUGGACAACAUUAUCAACAAACACAAUUGCAUGUAGGAAGACAAAUACCUAAAAAAAGUGGAUUCUGCUUCAGUAGCAACAGCUUUGGCCAAGUAAGACUUUCCUGUCCCAGGAGGACCAUAAAGAAGAAAAGCUCUCCACGGUCGCCUCUUGCCUGUAGGUACAUGAGAAAGGAGAAAAAAAACACUCAAACUGUUGUGGACAAAAGCACCCAAAAGAUUGCUCAAGUUAUGUCAUGCACACGUUGCAAAACCACUCAACCAUCUCUAAUAUAACACAAAGAGAAAAAGAACAUAUUACUCACCAAGUUUUUUUUCCUUAAUGAUUUUUAUCCCACUACUACUUUUUUGGUUGAGCUAGGAAGAGCUGUAACAUGAAUCCUGGACUAACUAUAAAGAGAAAUUCCAAAAUGUGGGAUUUACUCAGAGUUCACCUCUCAUACUUCAAAAGAAAAAGCCAGACAACCAACUGUCUCUAAUUGCUAAGCAAUGCAAUUAACCAAUCAGUUACCCAAGUAUAGAAGACCAUUUGCUCAAGAUCAUGCAGUCACAGGCAAAGAACUUCCUCCUUCACAUCGAGGCUCUUCAGGAAUCUAGUCAUGAGACUCCCAAAAUUGUACCUAAGGCCCUUUGGCAGCCUAGCCUUCUUCAUUGUAGACUUCAGCAUUUUCUUUACCAAACUUCACAUUUCAAAACACAUGCACAGACGCGCUCACACAAAUGUUGAAAGACAUUUAGAAUGUAGAGAAGUUAACUCAUCCACAGCAUCACUAAUAACCUAAGAACUCUUAAACAUGCUCAACAAAAAGCAAUUCAUUUUCUACUCAUAUUCAGCUAUCUACAGACUAACCUGGCACUUUGUGGUCCCCAAAUUGAAAGGGUUUAAAAUGUACAAUAGGUAAAGACUCAAACUUACUUCUUUCCAUAAGUUAAAAACUAGAACUAUUGGAACCCAUGUAACCCCAAUUAUGACAUAAGUGUCUUCUAACUAAUACUCCAUGGUGUUUGGUUUGCAACAUAAAACUCUGUAUAACUGCCUAUAAUUCCCACUGCAUAAUAAGCACUAUAAUCCCUUUAACGACACCUAACAUCAUAUUGCUACUUCCUUUACCCAAAAAAAAACUAAGGCAUAAUACAUAAACAGACACUCAAACUUGGCCUCAGCUCUCAACUGGCAACUAAAAACUACAACUUGCCCCCACUAUGUCUCGUGGAUACCCUGCACUGAUGUAGCUCAUAAAUUAUGGAGGUGUCUAGAUGAUCAUUUUGUAAGUUGGAGUGUUCAACGGACAGAGUGGAGACGAGUUGAAGUGUCAAGAUGGAGUGCUUACUUGCUAGCUGAGGGCAUGUUUGAGUGUCUGUUUAUGUAUUAUGCCAAAAAAUAAUUGUGUUUAAGCUACUUCAGAAUCACAAGGAAACCAUCAAUCAAAGCAACAAUCUUUACUAGCAAAAUGCAGCAAUAACACAAAAACAAUCCAACAAAAGCAUACACACACCUGUGAAGAACUGAGGGAAUUUCACUGGCAAAAUGACAGCUUCCUGCAAUGCCUGUUUAGCACUCUCCAAUCCAGCAACAUCAUUCCACUUCACAUUAGGUUUCUCUCUAACAAUUGCUGAAUUAAGCCCAGCCCUUAGCUUAGACUGCUCAGGAUCCUCCCCAUCCUCACCAUCCUUAGGCUUAGUCUUAGGCUUAGCAAUCACAGCUGCAUCUCCUCCAUUUGGACCAGGCCCACUCCCACCCUCAUCCAACACAGCCCUAAUCUCCUCCGCACGGCGUAAAUACUCUGUAAAUUUCUGGGUAAUUGCCUCCUUAAUCUUAGGAUUCUUCUCGUACUUCAAAUGGGUCUUGAAGUACUCCAAUGCAUUCAUAUACAACGGAAAUGCCUUGGCAUAGUUUCCACUAUUGUCCUCUUGCACUGCUUGCCUUACGUAAUCAAUUGCUUGCUCCUUGAAAUUGCUAUACAUCUUCGAUCAUAUAGAAAAAAAAAACCCACAAAAUUAACCAAGCAAAUUUCAGGGUUUUGAUCAGAACUCAAAAGGGUGUCCGCAAAACCACAAAACUAACCAAGAAAAUUAAUGGGUUUUCAUCAGAACUCAAAAGGGUGUUCGAAAAAAGUUGAUUUAAGAAAAAAAAAUCAUAUAAACAGUGUUCUGAGUAAUGGAUCUUUUUGAAGAUUUUGAGCUUUUUUGGGUGGAUUAGGAACCCUAAAAAUUGGGGAUUUUGGUUUUGAUUUAAGAAAAAGAUUGAUUAGAGAUCGAAGGUUGGAUUAUGGAAGAAGAAAACAUUUGAAAGAAUCGUAAUUUGUGAGUUUGAACGUUGAAAUUUACAGGGGAAAGUGUUUUUGUCAUACACCAAGGGCUGCUGUUAAGGAACGGAAAAAGGUCAAAAAUGUUGCUAAUUAAAAAUGAAAUGACUCAAAAAUAUAUCUCACUCAUAACUCAUACAGUUCAUUUUACUUGUUACGUAUUUUUAAAAUAGAUUUUUAUUUUACAAAUUAUGCAAAAUAGCAAAUAUUUAAAUCAUAUUAAAUAUUAUAGUUACACACCGCUAUAGUUUUGCUCAAUCUUGCUAUUAGCAUGAUUUGUAUAAUUUAUCUUAUUUGUAUAAUUCCAGAAUUUGUACACUUUGAUUUCUGAUUGUAUAAAAUUCAAAAUUAUAUAUAUAUUUACCCUAGUUGUUUUGUAUACGAUUUAUGAAAAAAUCAUAAUAAAUUACCCUAUUUAUAUAUUGGCAAGCGAAAUAUACAAAACGGAGUUUUGAAAAAUUUCUAAAUGUAUAAAUUCAGAAUUUGUAUGGACUAACCCUAUUUGUGUAUACAAACGGACGAAAAAUAUGCAACCACAACCUCCAUAGGUAACAAAUCUAUAGCUAUGGAGCGCAAUUAUCAAAACUAUAGAUAUAGAACCUCAUUGUCUAUUAUGUUUCCUAUUUCCGAAAUUUUUUGUCGAUAAUCAUUUUCUUUAUGGGUGUGUCAAGUCAAACAGUGACAAAUAAAAAAUCAGCAAAGGGAUAUUUUAUUUUACUAGAAAAGAGUGUUGGCCAAGAGCCUAAGACUAAGAACAUCUUUUCAAAAUGAAGAUCAGUUCCAUCUCCACUACAGCGUACCACCUUCAUUCAAUAUUGAAAUUAGAAUUAAAAGGUCAAAUACACACUUGAAGGCGUUACUGCUAUUCUUGUUUCCUAUGGAUGAUGACACAGCUCGACGUGUGACCUCCUUAUCACAUGACAACAACUUUACUAGUUAAGCCGAGGAAGCUCCCUCGGCACGUGAGUUUUAACUACACUCUAAAUAAGUUGGCCACAAGAAAAGAGAGGUUACCAGCUUUGUUGUUACUAUUAGCAGCACUUGCUGACAAAUUGUGAAUUAACUGCCUGCAAAUAGAAUUGUAAAAGGAAUACAACAAAGAGACUAGCAAAAUGUUCUGUCUUGACAUUAAUAAAUACAUGCAAAGCUAAAACUAAUACAAUCCAAGAAGGUAAACAAUGACAAUUUCCCAUUUGAAGAGCCUUUGAAUAACGCAAAUUUUUCAGACAAGUAGAGGGGAGAAAGAACACAAAUCAUGGCAACUCCAGGUGUAGCAGUAUACAUCAAUCUCAUCAACCUUCUUCUCCAAACUCCUUUGUGAAUCUGUCAUGCACUUCAAGGUCGGAUUUACUAACUGUUGGCCUUUGACGAGCAAGAACCUUAUCAAAGUCUGUCUUUGUAAUGGGGGGCGGUAUGAUCUGCAAAGGCAUUAAUCAGCAAGAUGCUUAACUAGUCC